rnacentral:lncRNA from 1 species
GUUUUUGUGAGUGGUCCUUCUGAGAACAAUGACACUGAUGUCCGCGUGCACGAGACGACUCUAUUUUUUUCUUUCAGUGUUUGAAUGAACACAACGUCGCCCGGUUGGAAUAUUAUCGCUAUUUUACGAGAAAAAUAGCAUACAAAAUUAUUUGAAACAGCGUUUGACAUGCUUCGAAGUACGGUAAUGGAAUAUUUUGAAUUUUUUUGUCACGAAAUGCGCCGCCGCGUCACCCUUCGGAUAGUGACUUGAACGCACGAACAGAACGGAGCUAUUUGGAUAUAACUAUGGAUUAUUUCGAACCAAAACAACAUUUGUUGUUGAAGUAGAAGUACUGGGAGUGCAUUCUGACGAAGAACAGCAAAGGUGAGAGCUUGCGGGACAAGAAGGCACAGGGAUGGAGCUUCUGGUCCAAGGGAGAACGUUGAGACAGGACUGCACCUCUCCUGUGUCGGAAGCGUCCACCUCGAGGACGAACUGGAGUUCUGGGUCUGGCUGGGUAAGGAUUGGAGCAGAAGUGAAGCGGUGCUUGAGUUCCUGCCUCUGCUUCAGGGGACCAGUGGAAUGGAGUGGAGGUGGAGAGUUAAUGUCGACAGUCAGGAUGUGGAAUACACUGAUGUCAGGAUACUGAAGAAGCAGAUGAGACAGAAGGAAAGAAACGUGGAUUACGG